UACGAACGCUGGCGGCGUGCUUAACACAUGCAAGUCGAACGGAAAGGCCCCUUUGGGGGUACUCGAGUGGCGAACGGGUGAGUAACACGUGAGUAACCUGCCCUUGACUUCGGGAUAACUUCAGGAAACUGGGGCUAAUACCGGAUAGGAAUCCUUGCUGCAUGGUGGGGGUUGGAAAGCUUCGGCGGUUUUGGAUGGACUCGCGGCUUAUCAGCUUGUUGGUGGGGUAGUGGCUUACCAAGGCUUUGACGGGUAGCCGGCCUGAGAGGGCGACCGGCCACAUUGGGACUGAGAUACGGCCCAGACUCCUACGGGAGGCAGCAGUGGGGAAUAUUGCACAAUGGGCGGAAGCCUGAUGCAGCAACGCCGCGUGCGGGAUGACGGCCUUCGGGUUGUAAACCGCUUUCAGCAGGGGCGAAGCUUGUGGUGACGGUACCUGCAGAAGAAGCACCGGCUAACUACGUG
rnacentral:rRNA from 1 species